CCUACGGGAGGCAGCAGUGGGGAAUAUUGCACAAUGGGGGAAACCCUGAUGCAGCGACGCCGCGUGAGCGAUGAAGUAUUUCGUUAUGUAAAGCUCUAUCAGCAGGGAAGAAAAUGACGGUACAUGACUAACAAGCCCGAGCUAAAUAAGUGCCAGCGUCCGCGUUAAUACGUAGGGGGCAAGCGUGAUCCGGAUUGACUGUGUGUAAAGGGAGCGUAGACGGUCAUGCAAGCCGGAUGUGAAAGCCCGGGGCUUAAUCCCGGGACUGCAUUUGAAACUGUAAGGCUAGAGUGUCGGAGAGGCAGGCGGAAUUCCUAGUGUAGCGGUGAAAUGCGUAGAUAUUAGGAGGAACACCAGUGGCGAAGGCGGCCUGCUGGACGAUGACUGACGUUGAGGCUCGAAAGCGUGGGGAGCAAACAGGAUUAGAUACCCCUGUAGUC
rnacentral:rRNA from 1 species